rnacentral:lncRNA from 1 species
AGCUUAUGGCAUUCAAGGCUUUCUCUAAACUUUUCGGAUCCAUGUUUCCAGCCGUCUCUCCCCUACUUCUUUCCUACCUGCACAUACGGGUACUCUUUGACAUAAAGGUGAGGUUUCUAAGAUUAAGGAGAGAAAGGGGAAGGACAGUAAUGCUCACUGACUCUAUUUAAAUGCCGCACUUAGCAACAGAGCUUUUUCAUCUACCUCAUUUCCUAUCGUCCUCACAACAAUCAUGUGUGAUAGGCAUUAUGCCCAUUUUACAGGUGAGGAAACAGAGGCUCUGCAGAGGAGAGCAUCUCAAUGAUCACUUCCAUGGACAAGGAAAGCUAUGAACCACCUGAAACCUUCAUGUGGUUCUCCAAAGCUUUGGCUCCUACCGCUGUGCAGGGGGGGAGAGGAGCCUCUGAGAAGGAUGGAGACAGGAAGCAAGAGGCUGGGAGAAAGCCAGGCCAACAGACUGCAGUGAGCACAAAGCAAGAAUAGAAGGCAGUGCUGGAUGUUUGAUAGUGAUUCCCCACACAGAAGGGACAUGUGGCUGGAAGAGUGGAGACCACCCAACAUUGGUUCUCUGAGGAGGCAGGUCAGGAAGAUGAGGAAGGCUGAGGACAUUCCUACAAGGUGCGAAAUUGCAGGAGAACUCUGCAAUGUUUAGGCAGCUUCCAGAGGCCUGGGAAUGCCCAAAGGGACUCUGUCACAGGGCUGUGCCAUCAGCAGCUCAGUCCCUGGAAUGGGAUGAUUGGAGCUGGCUUUCUGGAGGCACUUUCCUGGUGGAUGCCUUGACACAGGCAAAGAAUGCUCCAGGGCAUGUUAUCAACACCUCUCAGAAGCCGCAUGGGGCUAUUCAGGGAGUGAGAACCCUCAUCAGUAUAUACUGACUGACAGCAGAGUCUCAGAACCCGUAUGUGGUCUUGUCAGGCACCUGGCAGAGGAGAUUUUCAGAUGGGGCUUUCAGGAUGGCUCAGGAUGAUGUGACUGGGAACUGGGGUCCCCACACGGUGAAUGCUGUUUAAAGUGAAAGAUACAGAAGUAUUCAAAUUUCCCACUACUACCUUCCCAGGUCCCACAUUUCAGGGGGAUAUUUUGCCAGCUCUCCGUUCCCUCCUGUAACUUCUUCAAAAUGGAGGUAACUUGAAUCCUUCCUGAAAAGAAAAGAGAGGGCAGUGGCAAUAGAGCUCACAACCAGGGGUUCACCAUGGGAUCCCUAGUCUUGGCCACAUAUUGAAAUCACCUGGGAGCUUUAAAAGGCACUAAGGUCUGGGUGCACCAGAGAGUCUGACUUAAUAGGACUCGAGUGCAGUAUUGGGCAUUUUGUAAAGUUUCCAUGAUACCACUUCACACCCACUGUGUGAUAGGAUGACCACUAUCCAAGAAAUAGAAAAUCACUAGUGUUGAGCAGGAUGGAGAAGAAUCGGGGCCCUUGUGCUCUGUUGGUG